rnacentral:rRNA from 1 species
UCCUACGGGAGGCAGCAGUGGGGAAUUUUCCGCAAUGGGCGAAAGCCUGACGGAGCAACGCCGCGUGAGGGAUGAAGGCCUCUGGGCUGUAAACCUCUUUUAUCAAGGAAGAAGAUCUGACGGUACUUGAUGAAUAAGCAUCGGCUAACUCCGUGCCAGCAGCCGCGGUAAGACGGAGGAUGCAAGUGUUAUCCGGAAUCACUGGGCGUAAAGCGUCUGUAGGUGGUUUAAUAAGUCAACUGUUAAAUCUUGAGGCUCAACUUCAAAAUCGCAGUCGAAACUAUUAGACUAGAGUAUAGUAGAGGUAAAGGGAAUUUCCAGUGGAGCGGUGAAAUGCGUAGAUAUUGGAAAGAACACCGAUGGCGAAAGCACUUUACUGGGCUAUUACUAACACUCAGAGACGAAAGCUAGGGUAGCAAAUGGGAUUAGAUACCCCAGUAGUCCUAGCCGUAAACAAUGGAUACUAGAUGUUGAACAGAUCGACCUGUGCAGUAUCAAAGCUAACGCGUUAAGUAUCCCGCCUGGGAAGUAUGCUCGCAAGAGUGAAACUCAAAGGAAUUGACGGA